rnacentral:lncRNA from 1 species
GUCCUUUGCUUAGUGCUUUUGGUAAUCAUUGUGUUUCCUGUGUUACCCUAUUACCUUCAAUACUCUAGAGAAGAUAAGAAAAUGAGAGUGAUGGUAUGUUUUAUUAUGAUUAAAAAUAAUUAUAACCUUUAGCAGUAAUAAAAUCAUCAUAAUAUUACAACAUUGAAAUAAAACAAAGACCUAGCUAGCCAUGUCCUUUUUCUUCUAGGUCUGUAUAUCUGAGUGACAAUUUGUAUUGUGUGCCAUAUAAAUGGUAUAAAAUGUAUUUGUAUGUGAGUGGAUCACAUAAGAUGAUGGUUUAUGUAAUCCAGUACUCUGCUGUAGAUGCAAACUUUUUACUCAUUAUGUUUUGGCUCCCAGGUUUGACCAAGGCUAAGUAUUUUUUUUUGGAAUGGGCGGGUGAUGAUCCUGUACUUGU